rnacentral:rRNA from 1 species
CCUGAGAAACCCAAAAGAUCGAAUGGGGAGAUUCAUCGUCAGCUCAUUUUGUAUAUAUAUGGGAUAUGAUAUGGGUUACUACUUGUAGUAUUGCCUCUACAUUCUUCUAUAUUUUAUUGCAAGAUGUUGUCGGCGUGCACUUCUCCCCUAGUAGGACGUCGCGACCCGUUGAGUGUCGGUCUGCGGCCCAAGUGGUAGUCUUUAAUUUUUUUCGAAAAAAAUUGAAGACCCUUGGUGUUUCCUGACUGGCUACUCGGCGGUAUUCGUACGGUAUUAAGCCGCAUUUAUGCGUUCAUAUCCAUCACAAGCGCGGUCAAUUUUUGGCAGUACGGACCUAGUGCCGUCGCUAUAAUUGAUCAGCUGUUGGUUGUAUGGUAUUCUAGAACU